AGUGAACGCCGGCGGUAGGCCUAACACAUGCAAGUCGAACGGCAGCACAGUAAGAGCUUGCUCUUACGGGUGGCGAGUGGCGGACGGGUGAGGAAUACAUCGGAAUCUACUUUUUCGUGGGGGAUAACGUAGGGAAACUUACGCUAAUACCGCAUACGACCUACGGGUGAAAGCAGGGGAUCUUCGGACCUUGCGCGAUUGAAUGAGCCGAUGUCGGAUUAGCUAGUUGGCGGGGUAAAGGCCCACCAAGGCGACGAUCCGUAGCUGGUCUGAGAGGAUGAUCAGCCACACUGGAACUGAGACACGGUCCAGACUCCUACGGGAGGCAGCAGUGGGGAAUAUUGGACAAUGGGCGCAAGCCUGAUCCAGCCAUACCGCGUGGGUGAAGAAGGCCUUCGGGUUGUAAAGCCCUUUUAUUGGGAAAGAAAAGCAGCAGGUUAAUACCCCGCUGUUCUGACGGUACCCAAAGAAUAAGCACCGGCUAACUUCGUG
rnacentral:rRNA from 1 species